rnacentral:rRNA from 1 species
CAAGCGGCGGAGCAUGCGGAUUAAUUCGAUGCAACGCGAAGAACCUUACCAAGGCUUGACAUUCACCGGACCGCCCCAGAGAUGGGGUUUCCCUUCGGGGCUGGUGGACAGGUGGUGCAUGGUUGUCGUCAGCUCGUGUCGUGAGAUGUUGGGUUAAGUCCCGCAACGAGCGCAACCCUCGUUCUAUGUUGCCAGCACGUGAUGGUGGGGACUCAUAGGAGACUGCCGGGGUCAACUCGGAGGAAGGUGGGGAUGACGUCAAAUCAUCAUGCCCCUUAUGUCUUGGGCUUCACGCAUGCUACAAUGGCCGGUACAAAGGGUUGCGAUACUGUGAGGUGGAGCUAAUCCCAAAAAGCCGGUCUCAGUUCGGAUUGAGGUCUGCAACUCGACCUCAUGAAGUCGGAGUCGCUAGUAAUCGCAGAUCAGCAACGCUGCGGUGAAUACGUUCCCGGGCCUUGUACACACC